UCUUCCCCCUCCCCAACUCUCCCCUUCCCGGGCCAAGCACUCACUCGAGGGUCAGCGCCGGGAUGUGCAGCUUGUCCCUGCGGGACUUCAUGCCGAGGCCGGGGCCGCGUUUAAGCAACCAGGCCGUUGAAGAAGUAUUAAAGUAAAACGAGAUUUUAUGGGUGGAUCCUAAUCCAAUAUGACUGAUGUCAUUAUAAGAAGAGGAGAUUAGUAUGCACACAUGUAGGAGGGAGGACCACAGACAGACACAAAGAGAAGAUGCCAUCUUCAAGACGUGGAGAGAGAUGCUGGAAGAAAGCAAACCCGCUGACACCUUGAUCUUCGACUUCUAGCCUCCAGAACUAUAAGGAAAUAAAUUUCUGUUGUUGAAACUGCU